rnacentral:rRNA from 1 species
UGCUGCCAGUUGCAACGGGUGAAGCCGGGCACUCUGGCGGGACUGCCAUCGACAAGAUGGAGGAAGGUGGGGAUGACGUCAAGUCAUCAUGGCCCUUAUGUCCAGGGCGACACACGUGCUACAAUGGCCGGCACAGCGGGAAGCGAGGCAGUGAUGCCAAGCGGAUCCCUUAAAGCCGGUCUCAGUUCGGAUUGAAGUCUGCAACUCGACUUCAUGAAGCUGGAAUCGCUAGUAAUCGCAGAUCAGCCAAGCUGCGGUGAAUACGUUCCCGGGCCUU